rnacentral:lncRNA from 1 species
AUGACCCAAAGGCCCAGGGAUGUUUCCACAGCUUACAGAGGUCCACUCAGCAUCAAGUCAGCGGCAGAGCUGAUGGGUACAGCAACCAGUCACCUGGGGGACCAGAGAGCUGAAGGAAAGCUGGCUUUUCUGAAAGUUGCUGCAGUGAGAAGACAUUUAUCAUAUUGAACAAAGACUGAAGAAACUGUAGAAUUAGCAGAAACAUUAGA